rnacentral:rRNA from 1 species
UACGUAGGGGGCAAGCGUUGUCCGGAAUCAUUGGGCGUAAAGAGCGUGUAGGCGGCUUGGUAAGUCCGCUGUGAAAGUCCAGGGCUCAACCCUGGAAUGCCGGUGGAAACUGUCAAGCUUGAGUCCGGAAGAGGCGAGUGGAAUUCCUGGUGUAGCGGUGAAAUGCGCAGAUAUCAGGAGGAACACCGGUGGCGAAGGCGGAUCUCUGGGCCAUUACUGACGCUGAGGAGCGAAAGCGUGGGGAGCGAACAGG